AGCCGGACAAGCCAGAGUAUCGGUUAAAACACCAAUGGUAAAUGUGGUAUAGGAAAACUAAACAAAACCGCAAGUCUCAAGGCAUCAGACUUCAUUUGGUAAAGAGAAAUUACAAAAAUCAUAAAUGGAGGAAAUGUUGCAAAUGUAAAGGACACAACGUGUACGAAUAAUGUCGUUACCAUUCUCUUAUCACAAUAAUGUUUAAAAUGCUUCGAACGUAACGUAGACGUUUGCUUGUCAUCUCUGGCGUAGAGCGAUAGAAAUAUUUUCUGGUUUCUAACAAUAAACUCUAUUGUUUUCAUCAGGAAGCUGCUAUAGAGAAGACUGAAGUGCCACUAAAUAUACGUUUAAAUAUCUUGAGAUGAAAUAAACAAAAGUCAAUUAAAAUAUCUAAUAUACACCGGGCAACAGUGGUAUGCUUUCUAAUACAAACAAUGUCAACAAUAAUAAAUGUACAAAACAAAAAUAAUAAUGGAAAACUAUAACAACCCUUAAUUUUUUAUGAAUACUAGUUUAAUUCUACUACAACAAUUAGAGUAUUUGUUAAGCACAAAUUUUUUAGUAUAUAAUAUUAUAAUAAAUGUAAUUUACUGCGGCGCAUUUGCUUUUUGCUA